AUCUUUGCGGUUGGGGCAAUCACGUAGUUAGUGAGGUGAAACCCAGACGCGUCAAUUGCCGGUUGAAACCUAUUUCCAAAACUAGAAAAAUAUAUACAAAUGAAGAAUAAACUAGAAUUAGU
rnacentral:snRNA from 1 species